GAUGAACGCUAGCUACAGGCUUAACACAUGCAAGUCGAGGGGCAGCGGUAUCGAAAGCUUGCUUUCGGUAGCCGGCGACCGGCGCACGGGUGAGUAACGCGUAUCGAACCUGCCUCAUACUCGGGAAUAGCCUUGCGAAAGUAAGAUUAAUGCCCGGUGUUUUCAAAGUCCCGCAUGAGGCCUUGAACAAAGAUUUAUCGGUAUGAGAUGGCGAUGCGUCCCAUUAGCUUGGUGGCGGGGUAACGGCCCACCAAGGCAGCGAUGGGUAGGGGUUCUGGGAGGAAGGUCCCCCACAUUGGAACUGAGACACGGUCCAAACUCCUACGGGAGGCAGCAGUGAGGAAUAUUGGUCAAUGGGCGGAAGCCUGAACCAGCCAAGUAGCGUGCAGGAAGACGGCCCUCCGGGUUGUAAACUGCUUUUAGUUGGGAAAAAAACGGGGCUCGUGAGCCCCCUUGCAUGUACCAUCAGAAAAAGGACCGGCUAAUUCCGUGCCAGCCGCCGCGGUAA
rnacentral:rRNA from 1 species